rnacentral:rRNA from 1 species
UAAUUGAAGAGUUUGAUCAUGGCUCAGAUUGAACGCUGGCGGCAGGCCUAACACAUGCAAGUCGAACGGUAGCACAGAGAAGCUUGCUUCUUGGGUGACGAGUGGCGGACGGGUGAGUAAUGUCUGGGAAACUGCCCGAUGGAGGGGGAUAACUACUGGAAACGGUAGCUAAUACCGCAUAACGUCUUCGGACCAAAGUGGGGGACCUUCGGGCCUCACGCCAUCGGAUGUGCCCAGAUGGGAUUAGCUAGUAGGUGGGGUAACGGCUCACCUAGGCGACGAUCCCUAGCUGGUCUGAGAGGAUGACCAGCCACACUGGAACUGAGACACGGUCCAGACUCCUACGGGAGGCAGCAGUGGGGAAUAUUGCACAAUGGGCGCAAGCCUGAUGCAGCCAUGCCGCGUGUAUGAAGAAGGCCUUCGGGUUGUAAAGUACUUUCAGCGGGGAGGAAGGCGAUGCGGUUAAUAACCG